AUCCCUACGGGGGGCAGCAGUGGGGAAUAUUGGGCAAUGGGCGCAAGCCUGACCCAGCAACGCCGCGUGAAGGAAGAAGGCUUUCGGGUUGUAAACUUCUUUUAAGAGGGACGAAGGAAGUGACGGUACCUCUUGAGUAAGCCACGGCUAACUACGUGCCAGCAGCCGCGGUAAUACGUAGGUGGCAAGCGUUGUCCGGAUUUACUGGGUGUAAAGGGCGUGCAGCCGGGAAGACAAGUCAGAUGUGAAAUCCCGCGGCUCAACCGCGGAACUGCAUUUGAAACUGUUUUUCUUGAGUACCGGAG
rnacentral:rRNA from 1 species